rnacentral:rRNA from 1 species
UACGUAGGGUGCAAGCGUUAAUCGGAAUUACUGGGCGUAAAGCGUGCGUAGGUGGUUCGUUAAGUCUGUCGUGAAAGCCCCGGGCUCAACCUGGGAAUGGCGAUGGAUACUGGCGGGCUAGAGUGCGGUAGAGGAGAGUGGAAUUCCCGGUGUAGCAGUGAAAUGCGCAGAUAUCAGGAAGAACACCCGUGGCUAAGGCGGCUCUCUAGUACGGUACUGACGCUGAGACGCGAAAGCGUGGGGAGCGAACAGG